UCCGUAGGGGGCAAGCGUUGUCCGGAAUCAUUGGGCGUAAAGAGCGUGUAGGCGGCUCGAUAAGUCCGCUGUGAAAGUCCAGGGCUCAACCCUGGAAGGCCGGUGGAAACUGUCGGGCUAGAGUCCGGAAGAGGCGAGUGGAAUUCCCGGUGUAGCGGUGAAAUGCGCAGAUAUCGGGAGGAACACCAGUAGCGAAGGCGGCACUCUGGGCCGGUACUGACGCUGAGGAGCGAAAGCGUGGGGAGCGAACAGG
rnacentral:rRNA from 1 species